rnacentral:rRNA from 1 species
GGGGGCAACCCCCGAGUAAAGUGGCGCACGGGUGAGUAACACGUGGGUAAUCUGCCUCUGGGUGGGGAAUAACUCUGGGAAACCGGAGCUAAUACCGCAUAAGCCCGCAAGGGGAAAGGCGAAAGUCGCCGAGAGAGGAGCCCGCGGCUGAUUAGCUAGCUGGUGAGGUAAGAGCUCACCAGGGCAGAGAUCGGUAGCCGGCCUGAGAGGGCACACGGCCACACUGGCACUGAAACACGGGCCAGACUCCUACGGGAGGCAGCAGUGGGGAAUCUUGCACAAUGGGGGAAACCCUGAUGCAGCGACGCCGCGUGAGCGAUGAAGCCCUUCGGGGUGUAAAGCUCUUUCGGCAGGGACGAUAAUGACGGUACCUGAAGAAGAAGCUGCGGUUAACUACGUGCCAGCAGCCGCGGUAAUACGUAGGCAGCGAGCGUUGUUCGGAGUUACUGGGCGUAAAGCGUGCGUAGGCGGUGGCCCAAGUCUGGUGUGAAAUCUCCCGGCUUAACCGGGAGGGUGCGCCGGAAACUGGGUCGCUGGAGUACCGGAGAGGCAGGCGGAAUUCCUGGUGUAGCGGUGAAAUGCGUAGAUAUCAGGAGGAACACCCGUGGUGUAGACGGCCUGCUGGACGGUCACUGACGCUGAGGCACGAAAGCGUGGGGAGCAAACAGGAUUAGAUACCCUGGUAGUCCACGCCCUAAACGAUGCAUACUUGGUGUGGGCAGUUCAGUCUGUCCGUGCCGAAGCUAACGCGAUAAGUAUGCCGCCUGGGGAGUACGGUCGCAAGGCUGAAACU